UCUCCGUAGGUGAACCUGCGGAGGGAUCAUUACAGAGUUCAUGCCCUACCGGGUAGAUCUCCCACCCUAUGUUACUAUUACUUUGUUGCUUUGGCGGGCCGUUAGGCUCCGGCCCGACUACCGGCCCCGGCUGGUAAGCGCCCGCCAGAGGACCCAAAACCCUGAAUAUUAGUGUCGUCUGAGUACUAUAUAAUAGUUAAAACUUUCAACAACGGAUCUCUUGGUUCUG
rnacentral:misc_RNA from 1 species